GCUUCCUUCGCUUCGGGCAAUCGAUCCAUCUGCCUUUUGAAUGUCCUCGAGAUCGUACCCUAUCUGCAGAUGUUGAAGGAAUAAGCGAUGCCAUUGAAAGAGAAGAGAGUUCCGUGAUUUCCGGGGUUAGCUCUAGGCUGGACGUCGAACGUUCUGAUUCGAUGGGGUCGCCAGUUAGAUGACCGCGGGUGAGCCACUUGGGCGGAAUGGAUGGAAACCAAACGUGGAGAUUUCCUUUCCGCGAAAUCGUUGGUUACGUUCUUUUCUUGCUCGGAUUCGUGACUGAUCGGCUUGGGCUUGCGGGUGCGGGCAGUUUCAAAUCCAUGAACUUCGUACAGAGCAUCUCGGGGGAAGAUGAGCAAUGUUCACGGAAAAAGAACAGAGAUUUUGU
rnacentral:lncRNA from 1 species